UACGUAGGUGGCAAGCGUUGUCCGGAUUUAUUGGGCGUAAAGAGCGUGUAGGCGGCCAUACAGGUCCGUUGUGAAAACUGGAGGCUUAACCUCCAGACGUCGAUGGAAACCGUAUGGCUAGAGUCCGGAAGAGGAGAGUGGAAUUCCUGGUGUAGCGGUGAAAUGCGCAGAUAUCAGGAAGAACACCCGUGGCGAAGGCGGCUCUCUGGGACGGUACUGACGCUGAGACGCGAAAGCGUGGGUAGCAAACAGG
rnacentral:rRNA from 1 species